rnacentral:hammerhead_ribozyme from 1 species
AUCCGACUGAUGAGUCCCAAGUAGGACGAAACGCGCGUCCCGGAU